AGGGGGUAUAUAGUGCUUGCACUAUAGAGACCGGCGCACGGGGUGCGUAACGCGUAUGCAAUCUACCUUAUACAGGGGAAUAGCCCAGGGAAACUUGGAUUAAUGCCCCAUAGUAUCAUUUAAGUAGCAUUACUUGAUGAUUUAAAGAUUUAUCGGUAUAGGGAUGAGCAUGCGUCCCAUUAGUUAGUUGGUAAGGUAACGGCUUACCAAGACAGCGAUGGGUAGGGGCCCCUGAGAGGGGGAUCCCCCACACUGGUACUGAGACACGGACCAGACUCC
rnacentral:rRNA from 1 species